UAUCUGGUUGAUCCUGCCAGUAGUCAUAUGCUUGUCUCAAAGAUUAAGCCAUGCAUGUCUAAGUAUAAGUAUUGUACAGCGAAACUGCAGACGGCUCAUUAAAACAGUUAUGGUUUAUUUGAUGGUUCAUUGCUACUUGGAUAACCGUAGUAAUUCUAGAGCUAAUACAUGCACGAAGGAGCGACUCACGAAGCUCUGUAUUUAUUAGAUUAAAGCCAAUCCCUCACGGGUCGUGGUGAAUCAUAGUAACUUCUCGGAUCGCCGGCCCUGUUGCCAGCGACGUGUCAUUCAAAUUUCUGCCCUAUCAGCUUUAGAUGGUAGGAUAUGGGCCUACCAUGGCGGUGACGGGUGACGGAGAAUUAGGGUUCGAUUCCGGAGAGGGAGCCUGAGAAACGGCUACCACUUCUAAGGAAGGCAGCAGGCGCGCAAAUUACCCAAUCCUGAUUCAGGGAGGUAGUGACAAGAAAUAACAAUAGUUCGCCCUAGUGGUAAGCUAAUUGGAAUGAGUACAAUUUAAACAUCUUAACGAGCACCAAUUGGAGGGCAAGUCUGGUGCCAGCAGCCCGCGGUAAUUCAGCUCCAAUAGCGUAUACUAAANGUUGUGCAGUUAAAAGCUCGUAGUGGGAUUUCUGCGCGCGGGGCGUCCGCGUCUAAGGCGGUUGGGCAGCAACGCCCGCGCUCCUGCACGAUCCACGUACCAUCAUUUGGUGGCGUCUGGGAAUG
rnacentral:rRNA from 1 species